GACGAACGCUGGCGGCGUGCUUAACACAUGCAAGUCGAACGGAAAGGCCCUGCUUUUGUGGGGUGCUCGAGUGGCGAACGGGUGAGUAACACGUGUGUAACCUGCCCUUGACUUUGGGAUAACUUCAGGAAACAGGGGCUAAUAUCGGAUAGGAGCUCCUGCUGCAUGGUGGGGGUUGGAAAGUUUCGGUGGUUGGGGAUGGACUCGCGGCUUAUCAGCUUGUUGGUGGGGUAGUGGCUUACCAAGGCUUUGACGGGUAGCCGGCCUGAGAGGGUGACCGGCCACAUUGGGACUGAGAUACGGCCCAGACUCCUACGGGAGGCAGCGGUGGGGAAUAUUGCACAAUGGGCGGAAGCCUGAUGCAGCAACGCCGCGUGCGGGAUGACGGCCUUCGGGUUGUAAACCGCUUUCGCCUGUGACGAAGCGUGAGUGACGGUAAUGGGUAAAGAAGCACCGGCUAACUACGUG
rnacentral:rRNA from 1 species